AGGACAGUUGACCGCUCCACUAAGCACUCCUGACAAAUGGCCAUCCAACCUCUGUUGACCUCCAGAGAAGUAGACUUCAACACUCUCUGAGGCAGUCCAUUCCACAGUAUUGACUAGUAAUCUCUUUGAUUUCUGAUUAAACCUUCCUGUCUUCUGUCCAGUUUUUCAUAGGUUUGGAAAGGCUCCUAAGCUUUCAUGGCAAGCGUUCUGGAACAAUCUUAAUUCCCUGAGUGCAGCAAAGCGAGGAGGAUAAGAGCGCAGAUGGCUUGCUUGUGACUAAAACAUCUUUGAAAAGGCUUCCAGACAGAGUGCAGGUGCACAGUGAUUGGCAGCAUGAUGGGAAGCCAGAGUAAGCUUCUUAGUCAACGGCCAAAGCGCCUAGAAGUUGUUUGGAAAGAGAUGUCGUUCCUCUCCUGCAUUGAUGGACCAACUGGAGGAUAAGAUAGAGGAAGCUGAAUUUCCACCAUACCUAGACAGACAAUUGCACUGUAUUGGGAUGCUCCAUAGAAACUUAUCAUGCUCUCCACUUGCUUUAAGUGUCUCAGUAUUCUGCUUCUGUGGCCUUGUGCAGGUUGAAAAGACUUCCAUGUCAUUGAAGUUAAAUUUACAACGAGACUAGAGUUUUAUUUGUUGGUAUGCUGAACGACCAUUCAGAAAGGAAAUUUGGAAGAUUGUUGCGUGAUGUGUGAACUGUAUCAAGAACUGUUUAGAGAUCAAAAAAGCAGGUUAUUCCAGUGCCCAAAAUGUCCUAUGAAGAUCUAUGUUAUGAAUUUGCUGAGAUGGACAAAUGGACUUACGCUGAUAAAGGAGAAAUCUUUGAAUAACUAA